GACGAACGCUGGCGGCAUGCCUAAUACAUGCAAGUCGAGCGAACAGAUAAGGAGCUUGCUCCUUUGAAGUUAGCGGCGGACGGGUGAGUAACACGUGGGUAACCUACCUAUAAGACUGGAAUAACUUCGGGAAACCGGAGCUAUUGCCGGAUAACAUAUAGAACCGCAUGGUUCUAUAGUGAAAGAUGGUUUUGCUAUCACUUAUAGAUGGACCCGCGUCGUAUUAGCUAGUUGGUAAGGUAAUGGCUUACCAAGGCGACGAUACGUAGCCGACCUGAGAGGGUGAUCGGCCACACUGGAACGGGGACACGGUCCAGACUCCUACGGGAGGCAGCAGUUGGGAAUCUUCCGAAAUGGGCGAAAGCCUGACGGAGCAACGCCGCGUGAGUGAUGAAGGUUUUCGGAUCGUAAAACUCUGUUAUUAGGGAAGAACAAAUGCGUAAGUAACUGUGCGCAUCUUGACGGUACCUAAUCAGAAAGCCACGGCUAACUACGUGCCAGCCGCCGCAGUAA
rnacentral:rRNA from 1 species